rnacentral:lncRNA from 1 species
AUGAGCAGAGCAAUGAGAAAUGGAGACCGUGUGUAUGGGGUUAGAGGUCAGAGGCUUGCCCUUGUUUCUAGCUAUCUAGGGAUAGCCCUCACCGGUGGGGUGAUGGUUCAUGACAAUAUCAACACCAGUGAUCACUGUGCUUUCGGUACCUUCGCCCUCCGGGCCUUCGGCGGAGGCAUUCCCACCGAUGAGCGAAUCAUCAAUGUUACCCUCUGUCCUACUGACCAUCUUCCCCUCCACCUCCAGGCACAGUCCGCCCGCGAUCUCCCGGAUCUUGUAGAUGUCGGAGAACAUCUCAUCGUGGCUGAUGAGGUCCCGGUAGAUAAUCAUGAUGGCGGCUGGUAGGAGACGACAGCGGCGGCGCUAGCUUGGCAGGAGCCCGGAGCUCAGAGCGAGCGCGGUGCAGCC